CGGGUGAGUAAUGGAUAAGUAACCUGCCCUUAAGUGGGGGAUAACACUUCGAAAGAAGUGCUAAUACCGCAUGUGGUGCUCUUUCACAAGAAGGAUCACUAAAACCGCAAGGUGCUUGAGGAGGGGCUUGUCUCCGAUUAGCUAGUUGGUGGGGUAACGGCCUACCAAGGCGAUGAUCGGUAGCUGGUCUGAGAGGAUGGUCAGCCACACUGGGACUGAGACACGGCCCAGACUCCUACGGGAGGCAGCAGCAAGGAAUCUUGGGCAAUGGGCGAAAGCCUGACCCAGCGACGCCGCGUGAGGGAUGACGGCCUUCGGGUUGUAAACCUCUUUUCUCAGGGAAGAAUAAUGACGGUACCUGAGGAAUAAGUCUCGGCUAACUACGUGCCAGCAGCCGCGGUAAUACGUAGGAGGCGAGCGUUAUCCGGAUUUAUUGGGCGUAAAGUGGGCGUAGGUGGUCUUUCAAGUCGGAUGUGAAAUCUCCCGGCUCAACUGGGAGGGGUCAUCCGAUACUGUUGGACUUGAGUACAGCAGGGGAAAAUGGAAUUCCCGGUGUAGUGGUGAAAUGCGUAGAUAUCGGGAGGAACACCAGAGGCGAAGGCGAUUUUCCAGGCUGAAACUGACACUGAGGCCCGAAAGCGUGGGGAGCGAACAGGAUUAGAUACCCUGGUUGUCCACGCCUUAAACUAUGUAACCUAGGUAUAGGG
rnacentral:rRNA from 1 species